GCAGUUUAUCUGAAAUUCAAAUUGAACUGGGCAUCCUGUAUUUUUAUUUGUUAAAUCUGGCAACCCUGGACCCGUGAGCAUGUCACUGCACCUCUCUGAGGCUCAGUUUCUUCAUCUUUGAAAAUGAACCAAAAUAUAGCCCUGUGAGGACACUGUGUCAAUGGCAUGAGAUGAGAGUUCCUGUUUCAGACCCCCGAUCUGUAGGAUGCCAAUGAAACAUCUUCAGAAAGCUACCUGAUGGGGUGGAAAUAACUCUACCACUUACUGGCUAUGUGACCUUGUGCGAGUCACUUACCCUCUCUGAGCCUCCGUUGACUCAUCUGUGAAAGGGGCUCAUCACAGUGCUGCCUCCUUGGGGUUGUGAUGACGAAAUGAGAUGGUGUGUUAAGCCCUACUACGAAGCCUAGCGGUAGGGCUCACCAGGGAGCGCCCACCCCCAUCUGGCAAACGCACCAAGAUACAUCUUCAGUUUUAAGACAUCCCAGGGAGGGCAAUGCUCACCCACGGAACGACUGGGUAAAGGUGGCCUUUCAGGCCCACCAUGGGCAGUGGUCACUUACGCUGGUCCCUGAAGUGACAGGCGGGGGAAGACGGAGGAGAUGGGCCUUUUGCUCUGUGCCCACCAGGUGCCAGGGACAAGCCACAGUCCUGUGGAAGCCUCGCCAGUCCCGGGGGUCGAUGGUCCUCCCCAGACACAGGAGUUCGCUGGUGCAGGAGCACAAAGCAAAAGGGAGGCAGACGCUGAAUUUGAACCCACGCCGCUCCAUCUGCAUGCCAAAUUAUUUGCUGUUUACCAUCCCCUCCAUUUUUCAUAAAAAAAUCCCCAGAAGCGCUUUUAUCUGCAGAGAGAGGCAAAGAAUA
rnacentral:lncRNA from 1 species